AUGUUGCCCUGGCUUUGGAAUCUGCUAUUGGUGGAUAUUGUUAUCAGCUCAAGGUUUCUUGCCUACGUGAUCAGGUUUUCUCUUUCCAUGUCUCCUGCAAAGAAGUUGGGUUUUUUCCUGCAUCAACGUAGCUUCGUUUGCCCUCAGUUUAAGUGUUUUUUCCAUCUCUGGGGUCAUGGUGGCCCGGAUUGGAUGAAGGAAUUUCGUCUCUGGCAGAUUGAGUGCAAUGAGGAGUGGACGGUGGUCAGUCCGUCUAAACGUCAUGCUAAGCUAGGUUUAUUAGCCAUGCGAAAUCCACCUGUCAAGUCCUCCUUAUGCACUAAUCCUAGGUCGGGACCUGCUAAGAGUUUGAGGUUUGCUACUUUCAUGAAGUAUGAUGUUUGUAAGGGUUAUCAAUAUCAUCCAAAUGCUGUUGAAGUUUUGACCAUCCGGGAGGCUGGUUAUGAUGUUGAUUCUCCUGACAACUCAGACUCCACAUCGUCGGGCAAUUCUCCCCUUGCAACAUCGCCUCCGGCGAGCCCGUCAUCGCCGCCGGUGACAAUUCAGUUUGGAUCUUUUCCUCCAUCCCGGAGCCAGUUAGUUCGUCAAGCGGCAAUCCGGGAUUUUCUGGGAUUUUAA
rnacentral:rRNA from 1 species